GUCCACGCCCUAAACGAUGUCUACUAGUUGUUGGUGGAGUAAAUCCAUGAGUAACGCAGCUAACGCGUGAAGUAGACCGCCUGGGGAGUACGGUCGCAAGAUUAAAACUCAAAUGAAUUGACGGGGGCCAGCACAAGCGGUGGAUUAUGUGGAUUAAUUCGAUGCAACGCGAAAACCUUACCUGGCCUUGACAUGUAACGAACUUUCCAGAGAUGGAUUGGUGCUCGAAAGAGAGCGUUAACACAGGUGCUGCAUGGCUGUCGU
rnacentral:rRNA from 1 species